rnacentral:rRNA from 1 species
GUAGGGUGCAAGCAUUAAUCGGAAUUAUUGGGCGUAAAGGGCGCGUAGGCGGAUUGAUAAGUCAGAUGUGAAAUACCAAAGCUCAACUUUGGUGCUGCAUUUGAAACUGUCUCUCUAGAGGAUUGACGGAGAAAGGGGAAUUCCACGUGUAGCGGUGAAAUGCGUAGAUACGUGGAGGAACACCGGUGGCGAAAGCGCCUUUCUAGUUUAGACCUGACGCUGAGGCGCGAGAGCAAGGGGAGCAAACAGGAUUAGAUACCCUGGUAGUCCUUGUCGUAAACGAUGUGUACUUGAUGUAGUUAGGCUCAACCCUGACUGUGUCGUAGCUAACGCGAUAAGUACACCGCCUGAGGAGUACGCUCGCAAGGGUG